CACGUAGGGCGCAAGCGUUGUCCGGAAUUACUGGGCGUAAAGUGUGCGCAGGCGGCGUCGCAAGUCGAGUGUGAAAGCCCCGAGCUUAACUUGGGAAUUGCGCUCGAAACUACGAUGCUGGAGUGUGGCAGAGGAAGGUGGAAUUCCACGUGUAGCGGUGAAAUGCGUAGAGAUGUGGAGGAACACCGAUGGCGAAGGCAGCCUUCUGGGCCAACACCGACGCUCAUGCACGAAAGCGUGGGGAGCAAACAGG
rnacentral:rRNA from 1 species